rnacentral:rRNA from 1 species
CCUACGGGGGGCAGCAGUGAGGAAUAUUGGUCAAUGGCCGGAAGGCUGAACCAGCCAUGCCGCGUGAAGGUCAGUGCCCUAUGGGCGUUAAACUUCUUUUGUGCGGGAGCAAUAAUGGUCACGUGUGGCCAGACGACAGUACCGUACGAAUAAGCAUCGGCUAACCCCGGUCCAGCAGCCGGGGGAAUACGGGGGAUGCAAGCGUUUUCCGGAUUUUUUGGGGUUAAAGGGGACGUAGGCUGUGAGGUAAGUCAGCGGUGAAAUGCCCCCGCUCAACGGGGUGAAGUGCCAUUGAUACUGGCUUGCUGGAAUGCGGAUGCCGUGGGAGGAAUGUGUGGUGUAGCGGUGAAAUGCAUAGAUAUCACACAGAACACCGAUUGCGAAGGCAGCUCACGAAUCCGCGAUUGACGCUGAUGCACGAAAGCGUGGGUAUCAAACAGGAUUAGAUACCCGAGUAGUC